rnacentral:rRNA from 1 species
UUCAAUCCCAACUUUUAUGAGUCCUAGUACGCAAGGAAUGGUCUCAGCGAUGCUCGACUAUAUUGGCCCCAUCGACGUAAUCAACUUCUGGCUGCUGCAAAGAAGGAGAGACAAAAGGUUUAGGGAUUAAAUAAGGUAUAUGUGGGGUGCAUAGCCCCCAGUACCCU